rnacentral:rRNA from 1 species
UACGUAGGGGGCGAGCGUUGUCCGGAAUCAUUGGGCGUAAAGCGCGUGUAGGCGGCUUGAUAAGUCUGGUGUGAAAUCUUGGGGCUCAACCCCAAGCCUGCACUGGAUACUGUCAAGCUUGAGUCCGGGAGGGGAGAGCGGAAUUCCUAGUGUAGCGGUGAAAUGCGCAGAUAUUAGGAAGAACACCGGUGGCGAAGGCGGCUCUCUGGAACGGUACUGACGCUGAGACGCGAAAGCGUGGGGAGCGAACAGGAUUAGAUACCCUGGUAGUCCACGCCGUAAACGAUGGGCACUAGAUGUGGGCGGUGUCGACUCCGUCCGUGUCGAAGCUAACGCAUUAAGUGCCCCGCCUGGGGAGUACGGCCGCAAGGCUA